GUAAUUUUAGUGAUGAUAUUAUAGUUCAGCUGAUAUUCCGUGCUGAAGAACUAUUCAAGUCUUUCGCUCCUAUCUGAAAAAUUGC